AUUCAGUUUAUACCACGAUGCCUGCUGUGGCCAGGCAUUGAACGUGGCUCUCGGUUUCCUUAUCUGCACCCUCCAGCAAAAUGGACCUGCAGGUUUUUGCCAGUUGAAGUUACUCUGUAUUUGACUACCACAGCCCUUUGAGACAAUAACAGAUGAGAAAACUGAGGUUUGGCGAGGUUAAAUUAUUUGACCAACAUCCAUUACUAUAAGUUCCCUGAGACCAUUUAUUAAUGCUGGUUACAUCAUCACUCAUGACACUACAUUAUCCAUCCUGCCUCUUCUGAAUACUAGUUUCUGGUGACUCUCUUUAAAGUCAUCACUGUGCUCUGUUGAUGAUGACCACAAAUGCAAGUUUUGCCCAGGAUAUGCAGAAACAUUUCUGUGCUGCACCCUCCCUCCAUACCUCUGACGCCCAUCACCCCAGCCUGCUGUCAAGAGAUCUGCUAUGUAUCUAGUCUGUGUUUUUCUAGUUUCACUAUGUAUUUGUGUGUCUGAAAACAACAUAAAGAUUGUUUUGCGUGUGUUUCAAUUUACUCUGUGACAUUUUGCUAUUUGCCUGUUAUUGACAUCUAGCUAUGUUAAUAAACACAUACCCAGUUCACUCAUUUUAACCACUGGGUAGUAUUUGUAGUACUCCUUCCUGGAAUACUACACCACAUUAUUUAUGUAUUCUCUUAACGAUGAACAUCUGGAAUGCUUUAAAAACAUUUUUCAUUUGCUACUACCCAUAAUGCUGCAUUGAAAAUUCUAACACAUAUCCUUUGUGAGCAUGUAUACGAGCUUUCUGCCAUAACAAGAAUUGUAAUAGUUAUUCAUAGUGAUUCAUAGGGCUGUGCUCACUUUGAAUUUGACCAAAUGCAACCAAGUUACUCUGCAUACCAAGGUAGAAAUUUAUAAUCCCACAAGCAGUCCGUGAAUAUUUUCCUUUCCUCAUCCAUUUUCUUAUAGUCUUCAACCUUGUGUAUUUUCAGACAAAAAUUUUAAUUAACCUGAUGCUUAUCUCGUUUUAAUGUGUUUCUUACUUAAUGAGGUUAAGCAGGUUUUAAUAUAUUUAUUGGCUCUUCAGGUUUUUUUUUCUUUGUGUUUUAGAUUUAUAUCCUUUGUCCGUUCUUCACUUGUAUUAUUCUAUUUUUUUCUAAUAGUUUUAAAAUGUUACUCAUAUUCAAGACUAUAAAUAUACCUGGAGUUUAUUUUUUAAGACUGGAAUGAGGUGUAGGAGUGUCAUUGUGUUUUUUUCCCAUAUGGAAAAUAACAACACCUUUUAUUGAAUUGGUUGUUUCCAUAUGAUUUUGUAUUGCUUCCUCUUUCUUAUUUCAAGGUUUUAGAUAUGGUCAGGUCUGCUUCCGGAUAUGUAACCUAUUCUCUUCUGUUUUGUUGAUCUGUCCCUGCGCAAGCACCACAUUAUAAAAAAGCUGCUAAUUCCCACAUGAACUUUCUUGUUAACACAUAGUGGAAGUCAUUUAAAUGGGAGCUUUGUACUUUGCCUCCUCCCACCAUGUUUUCCCUAACAAUAUAAAAUGAACACUUUUUCAUAUCGUAAGAAUCGGAAAGUUUUUUUUUUAAUGUUGCGUGACCACACUUGUAUAGAUAAACUUGUUACUUACAUAGCCAGUCUCUUGUUUAACACUGUUCUUCUGAGAGAAUGCUUCCCAGAUCAUGGCUGCAGAUGCUCGCCCUGUCGCCCUGUCGUAGUGCUGCAGAUUCCCUCCACCCCCUCUGAGGAGUGAGGGGGGAAAGCCUGUUCUUGAGAAGCUACAGAGCCCUGCACCGGUAGGGGCUGAUGCUGAUUUGCCUGGAGAUAGGUGU